rnacentral:rRNA from 1 species
CCUGUUUAUCAAAAACAUCUUUUCUUGUUAGUUUUUGAAGUAUGGCCUGCCCGCUGACAUUUGGUGUUGAAGGGCCGCGGUAUUUUGACCGUGCAAAGGUAGCAUAAUCAUUAGUUCUUUAAUUGUGAUCUGGAAUGAAUGGCUUGACGAGGCACGGGCUGUCUUAGUGUUGAAUGUUUUAUUGAAUUUGGUCUUUGAGUUAAAAUUCUUAGAUGUUUUUGUGGGACGAGAAGACCCUAUAGAGUUUGACAUUUGGUUUAUUUACUUGUUUGUUGUUUGUUUAUUUUUGGUGAGUGGGCUUUUUGUUUUGUUGGGGUGAUGGGAGGAAUGUACUUAACUCCUCUUAGUUUUGGUUAUAUUGAUUUAUAGUUGUUUGAUCCAUUUAUUUUGAUUGUAAGACUAAAUUACCUUAGGGAUAACAGCGUUAUCUUCCUUGAGAGUUCUUAUCGGCAGGGGGGUUUGCGACCUCGAUGUUGGAUUAAGGUGAAUUUUUGGUGUAGGGGCUGAAAUUGUAUUAGGUCUGUUCGACCUUUGGAAUC